AGGGGAUAGCCUCUGGAAACGGAGAAUAAUACCCUAUGAAACUAUCUUAUCGCAUGAAAAGAUAGUCAAAGUGUUUUAGCGGUGUAAGAUGGACUUGCGUCUGAUUAGCUAGUUGGUGAGAUAACAGCCCACCAAGGCAACGAUCAGUAGCCGGCUUGAGAGAGUGUACGGCCACAUUGGGACUGAGACACGGCCCAG
rnacentral:rRNA from 1 species